UCCCGAUUGCGCGACUUGUGGAGGGAGAUAUGGCCGACCCUGCACAUCGACCUAGGGACAGAGCUCCACGGUUUCAGUUCGACAUGUCCCUCCUCGCGGCACUUCUCGACCAUUGGCGUCCAGAGACGCACACGUUUCACCUCCCGGUCGGUGAGAUGACCCCUACUCUUCAGGACGUGGUGAUGCUUCUAGGCUUGCCGUGUGCUGGACGAGCCGUGAGUGCAGAGGACGUGGGACUCUCGUGGCGCGACGACCUUUUGGCUCGGUUCGCCGGGGUUCAGCGCAACGAGCUAGCAUUGCCGUACCGGCCCUUGCCUGCGAACCACGCACACGGACCGACAAAGAGGUGGCUCCUACAGUUCAGUGCGGACUACAUGAGGGCAGACGCAGACGACUUUAUGGUUGCCAGGCACUUCGAGGCCUACUUACUAUGGCUGUUCGGCUGGGUCAUGUUCUGUAGCUCCCAGGGUGACUUGUGCCCCCAAACAGCACAUUCCUUUGGCGAGGUCGAUAGCUGAUGCUCCACUUCACGAGGUCCCACAGUUCAGCUGGGGUUCUGCCGUUUUGGCUGUGACUUACAGGGGUCUUUGCACGGGCGUGACGAAGGUCUCAGCAGAGGAGCCCAUUUUUGUUGGGUGUCCUCUACUGUUACAGCUCUGGUCGUACGAGCGCUUUCCCGUCGGUAGGCCAGAGAUGGACUUCGAGCCAUACGUCCAGUUGUCCGCAGACCAUGACGACGUCGACAGACCUACGAUGGGUUCGUUGUGGUGCCUCAGGAGGCCUUCUUGGGUUGGCGUGCAGACGAGGAAGUCAUACCAUAACUUCAUGGGACAAUUUGACGCUCUUGUGGACAUGACGUGAGGUGGACUCCGUACACUGCAGCCGACAUUUACGCCCGGGCACCGAGCGGUCUUUCUUCCUUAUGCCUGCGAGACCAUGAGUACUGGAUGAUGAGGAAGCCGAUCCUUUACGACAUCCACGUCGAUGAGUACCACGUGAACCGGGUCAUGAGGCAGUUCGGUCUCUACCAGCAGACCCCGGUCCCGAAUGUGCACUCAGUGGAGGCCC